rnacentral:rRNA from 1 species
GAUGAACGCUGGCGGCGUGCCUAAUACAUGCAAGUCGAGCGAACGGACGAGAAGCUUGCUUCUCUGAUGUUAGCGGCGGACGGGUGAGUAACACGUGGAUAACCUACCUAUAAGACUGGGAUAACUUCGGGAAACCGGAGCUAAUACCGGAUGAUAUUUUGAACCGCAUGGUUCAAAAGUGAAAGACGGUCUUGCUGUCACUUAUAGCUGGAUCCGCGCUGCAUUAGCUAGUUGGUAAGGUAACGGCUUACCAAGGCAACGAUGCAUAGCCGACCUGAGAGGGUGAUCGGCCACACUGGAACUGAGACACGGUCCAGACUCCUACGGGAGGCAGCAGUAGGGAAUCUUCGGCAAUGGGCGAAAGCCUGACGCAGCAACGCCGCGUGAGUGAUGAAGGUCUUCGGAUCGUAAAGCUCUGUUAUUAGGGAAGAACAUAUGUGUAAGUAACUGUGCACAUCUUGACGGUACCUAAUCAGAAAGCCACGGCUAACUACGUG